UAGAAUCGCCAGCUGCCAAGCCCGAGG
rnacentral:piRNA from 1 species